rnacentral:rRNA from 1 species
AGAGUUUGAUCAUGGCUCAGGAUGAACGCUAGCGGCAGGCUUAAUACAUGCAAGUCGUGGGGCAGCAGGGUGGCCGCAAGGCCAUCGCUGGCGACCGGCAAACGGGUGCGGAACACGUACGCAACUUACCCUUAAGAGGGGGAUAGCCCGGGGAAACCCGGAUUAAUACCCCGUAACCCAGUGAAGUGCAUCACUUCACUGGGAGAGCCCUUCGGGGCGCUUAAGGAUGGGCGUGCGGCUGAUUAGGUAGUUGGCAGGGUAAGGGCCUACCAAGCCUACGAUCAGUAACUGGUGUGAGAGCACGACCAGUCACACGGGCACUGAGACACGGGCCCGACUCCUACGGGAGGCAGCAGUAAGGAAUAUUGGUCAAUGGAGGCAACUCUGAACCAGCCAUGCCGCGUGGAGGAUGAAGGCCCUCUGGGUUGUAAACUUCUUUUAUCUGGGAAGAAACCCCUUUUUUCCAAGAGGGUUGACGGUACCAGAGGAAUCAGCACCGGCUAACUCCGUGCCAGCAGCCGCGGUAAUACGGAGGGUGCAAGCGUUAUCCGGAUUCACUGGGUUUAAAGGGUGCGUAGGCGGGCAGGGAAGUCCGUGGUGAAAGCCCUAAGCUUAACUUAGGAAGGGCCACAGAUACUCUCUGUCUUGAAUACUGGGGAGGUGAGCGGAAUAUGUCAUGUAGCGGUGAAAUGCUUAGAGAUGACAUAGAACACCAAUUGCGAAGGCAGCUCACUACGCAGCUAUUGACGCUGAGGCACGAAAGCGUGGGGAUCAAACAGGAUUAGAUACCCUAGUAGUCC